AAGAGGACAAAGAACACAGAGAUGGUGAGAAACACAGCAUACAAAGGGACAAAGACAACAGAGAUGGUGAGAAACACAGCAUACAAGAGGUAAAAGACAACAGAGAUGGUGAGAAACACAGCAUACAAGAGGACAAAGACAACAGAGAUGGUGAGAAACACAGCAUACAAGAGGUAAAAGACAACAGAGAUGGUGAGAAACACAGCAUACAAGAGGACAAAGACAAGAGUGAAGAUACAUACCUUUGAUCCACUUAGAUUUGGACUGAUACUAACUAGACAUACUGGACAUGUUUUGGGUUUUUAGUUUUUUUUUCAAAAUGGAACUUUAGAUUUUAGAAUUACUACAAGAUAAUUUUGCCAAAUUGGACAGGGAAGCACAAGACUUUAGCAUACAGACUGCUACACCACCCAAGGUGAAUCAAUCCCCCAUCAUCUCCUCCUCUUGCUCUCUCUAGCUCUCUUUGUCUCUCUUCCCUCUCUCUCUGUCACACCCUUACACACGUUUGAAUCUGACCUGUGCCAAUCGUGGUCCAUAGGGUCCUGUUAAAAUAUAGUGCACUSCAUAGGGAAUAGGGUGYCAUUUGGGACCCGUYUCUGUACRGGUUAGCAUUUCAUAUAUUUAAUCUUACUCUGUCUCUAAAAAUGAAAUAAGGAGGUUUUAUCCUUGUUCUUAUGAAAGCUGUCUUUUUAUUUUUUGUAAUACUGUGGAAAAAUAAUGACAUACAAUUUGAAAAAAUAUUGAAUAAAAAUAAAAAUGAAAACACAUUUCAGUAAUAUAUUUGUGUUUUUUUCUUAAAGAAGAACCGUUAUACAGGAGGAGCAUUACUGAAUGAGAAGCCCAUAGUGACAAUAAUACAGGAAACAGUCCUAUUGGAACAAUGACAGAAUAGAAAAUAACAGGAUUGGGAAUGAAUUAUAUGGAGGAAAUACACUCACUCAGACAUGCACAUGCUCACCCACACCCACUACAGGUGGGAGGAGCUAUCGGAGAACAGACUCAUUCUAAUGUCUGGAAUGGAAUUAAUGGAACGGAGUCAAACAAGGUUUCCGUAUAUUUGAUUUGUUUGAUACCGUUACAUUCAUUCUAUUCCAGCCAUUACAAUGAGCCUGUCCUCCUAUACCUCCGCCCACCCACCUCCACUGGUGUACACACAUACAGUGCCCCAGGUCCCAUAGUACUAUAGUCAAGCACUACUUUUUGAUUAGGGCUCUGGUCAGCACUAUAUUGGGAAUACAGAUGUAGUUUCUAAUUUGAUCACUCUUAUUGCUGGGAAUUUUCCUGCACAGCAGAAAAUGCAAACCUGUCGUGUAUUUGAGGUUAAAAAGACUACUAAAGUUUGUAAUUUCCACUUUAAAAUGUCUGACUUGAUUUGCCCCAACGAAAAAAUUAUCAACCCUUACAAAAAAUGUCCAAUAACUAUAAUCCACAUAAUAAUUCCCAUUUCCUGUUGCUGCAGGAUUAUUUUCCUGCUGUAGCAAACUGGCUCAAAUUAAGAUCCUACACAUAUAGGAUUCCAUUUGUGUCAAUCGUGGACAUUUUUGGAGCCCUCUGUUAACUCAACAGCGGCAUAAAGAAUGAUUGGACUCAGUCGGCUCAUUCUUCAUGUCCUAUGGCCACAUGAUGGCUCCAUGAUUACAUCCCAAAUGGCAUCCUAUUCCUUAUAUAGGGCCACGGUUUUGACCAGGGCCCAUAGGAUUUUGGACAGAAUUAUUGCACUUGGUAAGGAAUAGGGUACAAUUUAUGACACAACCAGUCACUCUCUCUCUCAGUCUCUCCAUCUUUCGCUUUCCCCAUGUUUUCACAGCCCAACGUCCCCUUUCUACACACACACACACACACACACUGAUCAAAACACCAGGGUCAGAGGUCACGCAUACACACAGUUGUACUGUAAACACAAAUGGCUGCUGCAUUGGUUUGUCUGCUUUGUUCAUUUCCGUUGUUUUGUCUUUUGACUCCCAUUAGAUUAGAGAUUCAUAACACAACAUAGCCGGGAUUCAAUCCAAGGUGUGUUGUGAAGCAAAACAUACUUUUAAAAUGUAUUAAUACGCUCAAACUAUACACUCAUUUAUCGUGAAUCCAAUCGCAGCGAGCAUCUGGGAAAAUGCCUUUACACUKGUGCGCUGCUCUCUAAGGCUCCUGGGAUUGAAUCCCGGCCUGAGACUGCUACCAAACAACAUCUGUAAAUCAGUCCUGGUCAGAGAUAGCAGAGAACAGCUCAGAGCACCUUAGUACUGUCCACUGAGACCUGGGUUAGGCCUGGGUAGGAUAGACAUUUAUCCCAUCUGGUGUGGCCUAAUUGUGCAUUCAUUUUGGCCAUGUAAGUGUAUCACCACUCCCUUUGUCUGAGGCUAGUCCCAAAUGGCACACUAUUCCAUACAUAGUGCACUACUAUUCACCAGAUUCCUAUGGGCCCUGGUGGAAAGCAGUGCACUAUAUAGGGAAUAGGUUGGCCUUGACCCCCGUUACAUACACACAGAGGCCUACACAGACAACAAGUAAACGAUACAGGACGUGUAUAAAAGUUUAAACACCCUAGUGUCACCUUCAUUGGUGACAUAAUAACACCAUGAAUAUAAUAUGACAACUAUAAUACUGACGUCACAUGUGGAAGGCAUUUGAUGAAAUGAUAAAAGGAUGGAUGAGGAAGAACAAGAUUGGAAGGAGUUUAUGAAGGAAGUCAUAUCUUUUGAACAGAGGGCCAACCUGUCAAACAGACGUUUAUUUACAGCUAGCUAUAAUCUCUAAUCAACUCCUAUGUUUUCAUCUGGGAGAAAAGGUGAGAUCUGGAAGAAAUGGUGAGAUCUGGGAGAAAAGGUGAGAUCUGGGAGAAAAAGGUGAGAGAUG